rnacentral:rRNA from 1 species
UACGUAGGUGGCGAGCGUUGUCCGGAUUUACUGGGCGUAAAGGGAGCGUAGGCGGACUUUUAAGUGAGAUGUGAAAUACCCGGGCUCAACUUGGGUGCUGCAUUUCAAACUGGAAGUCUAGAGUGCAGGAGAGGAGAAUGGAAUUCCUAGUGUAGCGGUGAAAUGCGUAGAGAUUAGGAAGAACACCAGUAGCGAAGGCGGCUCUCUGGACUGUAACUGACGCUGAGGCACGAAAGCGUGGGGAGCAAACAGGAUUAGAUACCCCU